CACGUAGGGGGCAAGCGUUGUCCGGAUUUAUUGGGCGUAAAGAGCUCGUAGGCGGCUCGGUAAGUCGGGUGUGAAAUUUCGAGGCUCAACCUCGAGACGCCACCCGAUACUGCUGUGGCUAGAGUCCGGUAGGGGAGCGUGGAAUUCCUGGUGUAGCGGUGAAAUGCGCAGAUAUCAGGAGGAACACCGGUGGCGAAGGCGGUUCUCUGGGCAUGUCCUGACGCUGAGGAGCGAAAGUGUGGGGAGCGAACAGG
rnacentral:rRNA from 1 species